GCUUGUUUGAAUACUGCCCUGUAGUUCACUGUAACCAGGUUCAGGCCUGCUUAGUACUUGGAUGGGAGACCACCAGGAAAUCUCAGGCCUAUAAGCU
rnacentral:rRNA from 1 species